GCCCUGCUAGCUCAGUGGUAGAGCGUCGCACUCGUAUCUCCAUCUCCCCGCCGCGUGAUAACCCACGCUUGCAACGAGAGACAACUACGAUGCGAAGGUCAGUCGUUCAAGUCGGCUGUGGGGCA
rnacentral:tRNA from 1 species